rnacentral:rRNA from 1 species
UACGUAGGGGGCAAGCGUUGUCCGGAAUCAUUGGGCGUAAAGCGCGUGUAGGCGGUCCGGUAAGUCCGCUGUGAAAGUCGGGGGCUUAACCCUCGGAUGCCGGUGGAUACUGUCGGGCUUGAGUACGGAAGAGGCGAGUGGAAUUCCUGGUGUAGCGGUGAAAUGCGCAGAUAUCAGGAGGAACACCAAUGGCGAAGGCAGGUCUCUGGGCCGAUACUGACGCUGAGGAGCGAAAGCGUGGGGAGCGAACAGG